UCAUCUAUCUACUCCUAACACGUCCAGAGACACCAGGGCAAAGGGCAGGGCUACUUUGGCAGUCCCAUGCCUUUAUUGGAGAAAAGGGAAACAGACCAAUACUACACAGGUCGUCAAGACCAUGACGAUCACCAAUAUUUAUAUACCAAUAUACCGUGCACCUUCAGCAAGGGAUCUCGAACACCACCCAAUCAACACCCCCUGCCUUCCACUUACGUGACAAAAAGCUGGGGCGUGGGCCUCGGUCACCUUCGUGAUCUUCAGGCAAGUCCACGCGAAGCAGACCGCCGCAGAGGAGACUGCGUUGCAUUGGAAGCAGACACUGUUGGGGCCGACGAAGAGAAGAAGCCUUGCAUCUCCGAGGACCGGUAUCUACCGGAAUCACCCGGCAACCGCAUGUAAGAAGCCGAAGGUGAGUCCUCGAACCAUGGAGUCCCCAGAGGAGUCUGCCCACCACUCCUGUAUUGGACUAUGGUCCUAUAGACUAAUGGAAUGAGUCCUUCCAUCUCUAUGAGAGCAGAAGACCGAGCUUCUUUAGCAAGAUAGUAAACCUUCUGCUCCUUGUCUUGCUCGAGGGAUGAGGAGCGGCCGGCUGAAAAAUAUUGAGUAUGAGAAUGGUUUGCGCUUGUUUAGAGGGGAAAAACGGGGGAGAGGGGUUACUUUAAAAAGAGGAGACUCGAGGUUGGAUGACGUGGAAUGGCGGGGGGCGUCAUCCAAAGCCGGAUUUUCGUAGGGCGAAGCCAAACAUACUCGGUCUUCGGAGAAGAA
rnacentral:lncRNA from 1 species